UACGGAGGGUGCAAGCGUUAUCCGGAAUCACUGGGCGUAAAGGGCGCGUAGGUGGUCUGUUAAGUCUGGCGUUAAAGCCUGGGGCUCAGCCCCAGAUCAGCGUUGGAUACUGGCAGGCUAGACGGUUGGAGAGGCGAGUGGAAUUACCAGUGUAGCGGUGGAAUGCGUAGAUACUGGUAGGAACACCCAUUGCGAAGGCAGCUCGCUGGACAACACGUGACACUGAGGCGCGAAAGUGUGGGGAGCAAACCCGGAUUAGAUA
rnacentral:rRNA from 1 species